GACGAACGCUGGCGGCGCGCUUAACACAUGCAAGUCGAGCGAUGAAAUUUCGACAGAUCCCUUCGGGGUGAAGAUGAAAUGGAUUAGCGGCGGACGGGUGAGUAACACGCGAGUAACCUGCCUUUGACAUUGGGAUAGCCUCGGGAAACUGGGAUUAAUACCAAAUGACACUAACUGAUCACAUGAUCAAUUAGUCAAAGAAAUUCGGUCAAAGAUGGACUCGCGGCUGAUUAGCUAGUUGGUGAGGUAACGGCCCACCAAGGCGACGAUCAGUAGCCGGCCUGAGAGGGUGAUCGGCCACAUUGGAACUGAGACACGGUCCAAACUCCUACGGGAGGCAGCAGUGGGGAAUAUUGCACAAUGGGGGAAACCCUGAUGCAGCGACGCCGCGUGAGCGAAGAAGGCCUUCGGGUCGUAAAGCUCUUUUAUGAGGGAAGAUAAUGACGGUACCUCAAGAAAAAGCCCCGGCUAACUACGUG
rnacentral:rRNA from 1 species